UAAAAAGUUACUCAAUGCAUAGAGCGGAUGCCCUGGCACUUAACUUCGAUGAAGGACGUGGCUAACUGCGAUAAGUUUCGGCGAGCUGUCAGCAAGCUAUGACCCGGAAAUUUCCGAAUGGGGAAACCCAAUUCGAUUUAUAUCGAAUUACUCCGCAAGGAGAGAGUUACUCGGCGAAUUGAAACAUCUUAGUAACCGAGGAAAAGAAAUCAUUAUGAGAUUCCCUUAGUAGUGGCGAGCGAAGAGGGAAAAGCCCAAACCAUUUUGUUUCGACGAGAUGGGGUUGUAGGACUUCGAUGUGAUCUAUAUUUUCUUAAUCAAAGGUCUUUGGAAAAAGCCACCAUAGAGGGUGAUAGUCCCGUAGGUGAAAAGAAAAUAAAAAUCUAGAAGUAUCCUGAGUAGGAUCGGACACGUGAAAUCCGGUUUGAAUCUGGGAGGACCACCUUCCAAGGCUAAAUAGGUUAAGUGACCGAUAGUGAACUAGUACCGCGAGGGAAAGGUGAAAAGACCCCCUGUGAGGGGUGUGAAAUAGAACCUGAAACUUUAUGCAUACAUAGACCAGGAGUCCCGCAAGGGAUGACUGGGUGCUUAUUGGAGAACGAACCAACGAGUUAGCUGUGUGGCGCUAGGUUAAGGGAGUAAUACCCGAAGCCGUAGUGAAAGCGAGGACGAAUAGUCCGUUUAGUGUCACAUACUAGACCCGAAGCCGGAUGAGCUACCCUUGGGCAGGUUGAACUCUAGGGAAACCUAGAGGGAGGACCGAACACACCAGUGUUGCAAGACUGGGUGAUGACCUGAGGGUAGGCUAGAGAAAUUCUUAUCGAAUUCGGCGAUAGCUGGUUCUCCUCGAAAUAGUCUUUGGGCUAGCCUUGGUUUCGAAACUAAGGGGGGUAGAGCUCUGUUUAGACUAGGGAGCGAAAUAAGCUUACCAAAUCUAGACAAACUUCGAAUACCCUUGGUGAAUUACCAGGAGUCGGACGAUGAUAGUCAAGUACCGUCGUCAAAAGGGGAACAGCCCGCACCAUCAUCUAAGGUCCCUAAUGAGAUUUAAGUGUUGAAGGAUGUGAGAUUACUUACACAACCAGGAGGUUUGCUUAGAAGCAGCCACCCUUUAAAGAGUGCGUAACAGCUCACUGGUCUACGUGAUUUCGCGCCGAAGAUAUAUCGGGGCUAAAAUCUCAACCGAAGAUAUGGACUUUACUUUUUAGUAAAGUGGUAGAGGAGCAUUCCUGUCAGCAACGAAGCAUAACUGUGAGGUUGUGUGGAGCGUCAGGAAGAGAGAAUGUUGGUAUGAGUAACGUUAGCCGGAUGAAAAAUCCGGCCGCCGAUUGCCCAAGGUUUCCCAAGCAACGAUAAUCGGCUUGGGGUUAGUCGAUCCUAAGGUUUAGCCGAAAGGCAAAGCUGACUGGAUAACGGGUUAAUAUUCCCGUACAACUUUGGAAUCGCCAGAGCAAAACUAGAAGGGAGCAGAAGUUGGUUAUUUCGACUUCGGUUGAAAUAAUUGACACCUGCGAACGGAAGGUCGCGCUAGAUUGGGAGUGACGCAGAUGGAUAACGUGAGCGUAUUAAUGAAUUUACGUGUAAACCAUAAAUUUAUGCUCUUAUAGGCAAAUCCGUAAGAGUUAGUGAGUGGUGACGCCGAAUACCCUACGCAAGUAGGACGAGUCGUGUGAGUUCAUCUGCCAAGAAAAACUUCAAAAUCGAGAUUCCAAAGUUAUCGUACCGUAAACCGACUAAGGUGGGCUAGGAGAGGAUCCUAAGGCGAUCGAGUAAUGCUUCCCCAAGGAACUCGGCAAAACAGCAGGCGUAACUUCGGGAUAAGCCUUGCCUUAUGGAUUAUUCAGCAAUGUUUAGUCUGUGAGGCCACAGUUAAAGACAUCGGGCGACUGUUUAUCAAAAACACAGGUCUCUGCAAAUUCGUAAGAAUAUGUAUAGGGGCUGACGCUUGGCCAGUGCCAGAAGGUCACGAGGAGGGGUGUAUGCUCCGAAUCUAAGCCCUGGUGAACGCCGGCCGUAACUAUAACGGUCCUAAGGUAGCGAAAUUCCUUGUCGGGUAAGUUCCGACCCGCACGAACAGCGUAACGGUCUGAUGACUGUCUCAGGGAAGUACUCGGUGAAAUUGCAGUAUCGGUAAAAAUGCCGAUUUAUCGCGGGAGGGCGAAAAGACCCCGUGAAGCUUUACUAUAACCUGGCAUUGACACGAGAUAUGUUUUGCGUAGCAUAUGUGGGAGACUUUGAUGUUCCGCUUCUGGGUGGGACGGAGUCGACAGUGAAAUACCACACUGAACUUAUUUUGUUUCUAACCCACGCAAAACGUGGGAACAGUGUUUGGCGGGUAGUUUAUCUGGGGCGGAUGCCUCCUAAAGAGUAACGGAGGCGCGCAAUGGUUGGCUAGCUUCGGAUGGAAAUCGAAGUGGUCGUGCAAACGCACAAGCCAGCUUAACUGCGAGACAAACAAGUCGAGCAGAUACGAAAGUAGGCGUUAGUGAUCCGAUAGUUACACGUGGGUGUACUAUCGCUCAACGGACAAAAGCUACUCCGGGGAUAACAGGCUAGUCGGGCCCAAGAGUUCAUAUCGACGGCUCGGUUCGGCACCUCGAUGUCGGCUCAUCGCAUCCUAGGGCUGGAGAAGGUCCUAAGGGUUUGGCUGUUCGCCAAUUAAAGCGGUACGCGAGCUGGGUUCAGAACGUCGUGAGACAGUAGAAAUUUUGGCUUAUACAAGCUAAAAAACGGCCAUUGCUGUCUAUAAAUUUGGCUAAAUGCUGGAAAAUCUGAGUAUUUCAUAUUACCGUGUCGUAAAGUUUAUGAUAAGGUGAAAAUAUAUGAAUGCAGACAAUCAGCAGGAAAGAUCAAAUGGUGGAUUAUAUAAUUACAUAGCAGGUUUUGUUGACGGAGAAGGUAGUUUCCAUAUUGCAAUUCAACGUAGAAAUUCAAUGCGUUUGAAAUGGCAAUUAAUUCCGGAAUUUCGAGUUUCUCAGCAUAAAGAUCGCAUCAAUAUGCUCAGAAUCAUUAAAAAGACUUUCGGAUGUGGAAUAAUAAAGCCUAAUCAUCGUCACACAAACGACAAAAACUAUGUUUAUGUAGUUAGGAAUCGAGAUGAUCUAUAUAAUAAAAUCAUUCCGUUUUUCGAAAAAUUUCCUUUAAUAUCAGGUAAAAACAACGAUUUUAAGAAAUUUGCCGAUAUUAUAAGAAGAAUGAAAAACGGGGAACAUCUUGUAAAGGAUGAAUUUGAAAAGAUGUUGAAAGUUGCUUUUAGUAUGAAUCGUAAAGGCAAAUAUAGAACAAAGUAUAAUCUUGAUUCGUUCAUUAUUUGAAAUCCUCAGAGACUAUACGCCAAACUCUCGGUAAAACGAGAUAAAGAUAUAGUCCGAGCUCUUCAGCGAUGAAGAGAGAUCAGCAGAAAUGACUGAUCCGUUUAUUUCACAUUUGUGAAUUAAAUGUAACAAAACUGUCGGCCUCUACCCUCCGUGAUCGUUGGAGCUUUGAAGGGAAUCUGCCCAUAGUACGAGAGGACCUGGGUGGACAAACCUCUGAUAUAUCUGUUGUCACGUCAGUGGCAUAGCAGAGUAGUUAUGUUUGGUCUGGAUAAACGCUGAAAGCAUCUAAGCGUGAAGCCGUACCCAAGAUUAGAGCUCCCAAUUAAUCUCCCGGUAGACCACCGGGUUGAUAGGCUACAGAUGUAAGAUUAGUAAUAAUUUUAGUCGAGUAGUACUAAUAGAUGACUGUACUUUUUCUA
rnacentral:rRNA from 1 species